UACGGAGGGGACUAGCGUUGUUCGGAAUUACUGGGCGUAAAGCGCACGUAGGCGGAUUUGUAAGUCAGGGGUGAAAUCCCGGGGCUCAACCUCGGAACUGCCUUUGAUACUGCAAAUCUCGAGUCCGGAAGAGGUGAGUGGAAUUCCUAGUGUAGAGGUGAAAUUCGUAGAUAUUCGCAAGAACACCAGUGGCGAAGGCGGCUCACUGGCCCGGAACUGACGCUGAGGUGCGAAAGCGUGGGGAGCAAACAGG
rnacentral:rRNA from 1 species